rnacentral:rRNA from 1 species
GAUGAACGCUGGCGGCGUGCUUAACACAUGCAAGUCGAACGGUGAAGCCCAGCUUGCUGGGUGGAUCAGUGGCGAACGGGUGAGUAACACGUGAGCAACCUGCCCCUGACUCUGGGAUAAGCGCUGGAAACGGCGUCUAAUACUGGAUACGAGUAGCGACCGCAUGGUCAGUUACUGGAAAGAUUUUAUUGGUUGGGGAU